CUCGGCCACGCCCUACACAAAAAAGGAGCUAGCUCACCGGCUACAAUAUUAGUGCAACCUGGUGAGGCUUUGACUCUGUCCUGUAAGGUGUCUGGAUAUUCACUGACUGACAGCAGCUACUGCACUGACUGGAUACGACAGACUGCAGGAAAACCUCUGGAAUGGAGUGGAUGGAUUUGUAAUAGUGGGAGCACACACUACAGUGAAAAACUGAACAGCAUAUUUCAAAUUACCAGAGUAGUAUUAUUACGUAGUAUUUCUGUGCUCAAAACACUCCCACAGCGUUCAGACACCUCUAAUAAUAUAGUGACAUUGAAUGGAAAUAAUAUGCAAGCUCGAGACACAGCUGUGUAUUAUUGUGCCAGAUACCACAGUGACAGACUCUAA